UGUGUGUGCAGGCUGCUGGACGACGCUGGUGUGACUCCAUCUUGUGAUCGACCGUAUAAGCUCGUGGAGCUCCAGCAGGUCCUGGUUCAGCACCUUGGAGCCCAACAUGAGAUCCAGUGUGUGACGGACCUGAAGGGUCGGGAGGUGUGGUUCCAGGUGGAGGUCCCUCUGUCUCGCAACCUCACGGUGGGCUGUGACCACCACGCCCCCGGUGGCCAGGGCCGGAACUCCUCCCACGGUCACCCCUGCCCCCCCCAGGCACCGCUCUACUACCUCCCCAUCGACCACCGGCAGCCGGAGCGGCCCUGUGGCUGACGGCGGGGAAUCAAACCCACAACCUCCACCAAUAAAUGCAUUCAAAAGAU